ACAUAGAAUUAAAGCUAUUUUUCGGUACAUCCAUGUCGUAUUUAUCAAAUUUUCCUGAAUUGAAUUUUCAUGAUCACAUUUUCGGUAAAAUAAUCUAAUAUUGCAUCAAAUUUAAAUUACCUUACUAUUGUUGGAAUGUGAUGUAUUAUUACUAUAAUAUUGAACUAACAUUCGUUCUACUAUAACAUUUACACUUAAAAUCGUGAAAAGUGUAAUUCUAGCAUCCACAGUCCUUUUAGAAGAACUAAAUAAUGCACAUAAUAUGCAACUAACUGUAUAAUACAUAAUGGAUUGAAACCAAGAGAUUUCACCUAAAAUCCAGUCUUGAAAAGUACGUAAGUACGAAAAAAUCUCAAAUAAUAAUUCUCUUUGGUCUUUUGCAGAUUCCCUACAAUGGAUAAUAAUACAAAAUUCUUGGAAUGAAUAACUAAAAAUCUUAAACUAUAUUUAUAUAGAUAUUAUAGACUUACUUGAAAUCUUUUACCAUAUUUUGAACACUUGCAGAUGAAGAUUUUAUUACAAUACCAAGUUGUUUUCCGUGAACUAAAAGCUCAUCUUGCAUUUUUAAACUUUCUCUUUGAGUUUCCAGCAUAGCUCCCUGCAUUUCUGAAGCCUCCAAUAACUGUUCCCUCAUUCUUGAGGAAACUUGAUACAAUCUGUGGCACAGAAAUAAUUUUUUCACAAAUUAUUUCAGAAUGUUACAUACUGGGUUACAUAAAAUAAACUUACUCCUUAAUCGUGUUAUCAGUUUCAGCUUGCCAAGCCUCAUAAUUUAAAUAAAAACAGAUAUGCGUGGUGACAAAAUUUACCGCCGUUGCUUUUCUGACAUACUAAGAUGACAAUUGUAAGAUGAGUGUCCAGAGUCUUCUAAAAAACACUGUGCCAAUUGAAGAGCUAAGAGCGAGUGUUGUUGAUCAUUUAAGUUAUUACAGCUAUUUGUUAUUGUUUUAAGAGCAUUGUGCCAACAUAAUCCAUGUUGAGACAAAGUAGAUUUUGCUGUGAAAUGUAAUUCAUAGAUAAUAACGUUUGUGAAGAUUAUAUUAGAUAAUAUAAGAAAUAAAUAAUGCGUACCUUUUA